GAUGAACGCUAGCUACAGGCUUAACACAUGCAAGUCGAGGGGCAGCAUUGGAGUAGCAAUACUUCAGAUGGCGACCGGCGCACGGGUGAGUAACACGUAUCCAACCUGCCGCUUACUCGGGGAUAGCUUUUCGAAAGAAAGAUUAAUACCCGAUGGUAUAAAGAGUUCGCAUGUUCUCUUUAUUAAAGAAUUUCGGUAAGCGAUGGGGAUGCGUUCCAUUAGAUCGUUGGCGGGGUAACGGCCCACCAAGUCUACGAUGGAUAGGGGUUCUGAGAGGAAGGUCCCCCACAUUGGAACUGAGACACGGUCCAAACUCCUACGGGAGGCAGCAGUGAGGAAUAUUGGUCAAUGGACGAGAGUCUGAACCAGCCAAGUAGCGUGAAGGAUGACUGCCCUAUGGGUUGUAAACUUCUUUUAUAAGGGAAUAAAGUGAGGGACGUGUCCCUUUUUGUAUGUACCUUAUGAAUAAGCACCGGCUAACUCCGUGCCAGCCGCCGCGGUAACAC
rnacentral:rRNA from 1 species